rnacentral:rRNA from 1 species
AGUGAACGCUGGCGGUAGGCCUAACACAUGCAAGUCGAACGGCAGCACAGUAAGAGCUUGCUCUUACGGGUGGCGAGUGGCGGACGGGUGAGGAAUACAUCGGAAUCUACUUUUUCAUGGGGGAUAACGUAGGGAAACUUACGCUAAUACCGCAUACGACCUACGGGUGAAAGCAGGGGGUCUUCGGACCUUGCGCGAUUGAAUGAGCCGAUGUCGGAUUAGCUAGUUGGCGGGGUAAAGGCCCACCAAGGCGACGAUCCGUAGCUGGUCUGAGAGGAUGAUCAGCCACACUGGAACUGAGACACGGUCCAGACUCCUACGGGAGGCAGCAGUGGGGAAUAUUGGACAAUGGGCGCAAGCCUGAUCCAGCCAUACCGCGUGGGUGAAGAAGGCCUUCGGGUUGUAAAGCCCUUUUGUUGGGAAAGAAAAGCAGCAGGUUAAUACCCCGCUGUUCUGACGGUACCCAAAGAAUAAGCACCGGCUAACUUCGUG